rnacentral:rRNA from 1 species
GUCGAGCGAGAAAUCCCGGGUUCGCCUGGGAGAGUAAAGCGGCGCACGGGUGAGUAACGCGUGGGUAACCUGCCCUAUAGUGGGGGAUAACAUACCGAAAGGUGGACUAAUCCCGCAUACGACCGUCAUGCACAAGCAUGACGGGGAAAGGUGGCCUCUUCUUGAAAGCUAUCGCUAUUGGAUGGGCCCGCGUUGGAUUAGCUUGUUGGUGAGGUAACGGCUCACCAAGGCUGCGAUCCAUAACUGGUUUGAGAGGACGACCAGUCACACUGGAACUGAGACACGGUCCAGACUCCUACGGGAGGCAGCAGUGAGGAAUAUUGCGCAAUGGGCGAAAGCCUGACGCAGCGACGCCGCGUGAGUGAUGAAGGCCUUCGGGUUGUAAAGCUCUGUCAGAGGGGAAGAAAGGAGAUGCAGCUAACAUCUGCAUCUAUUGACGGUACCCUCGGAGGAAGCACCGGCUAACUCCGUGCCAGCAGCCGCGGUAAUACGGAGGGUGCAAGUGUUAUUCGGAUUUACUUGGGCGUAAAGAGCACGUAGGCGGAUAGAUAAGUCAGAUGUGAAAGCCCGGGGCUUAACUCCGGAACUGCAUUUGAUACUACCUGUCUUGAGUAUGGUAGAGGGGGGUGGAAUUCCCGGUGUAGAGGUGAAAUUCGUAGAUAUCGGGAGGAACACCAGAGGCGGAGGCGACCCCCUAGGCCAUAACUGACGCUGAGGUGCGAAAGCGUGGGGAGCAAACAGGAUUAGAUACCCUGGUAGUCCACGCUGUAAACGAUGAGUACUAGGUGUGGGGGGUAUAAACUCCCCCCGUGUCGGAGCUAACGCGUUAAGUACUCCGCCUGGGAAGUACGGCCGCAAGGCUGAAACUCAAAGGAAUUGACGGGGGCCCGCACAAGCGGUGGGGCAUGUGGUUUAAUUCGAUGCUACGCGAAAAACCUUACCUGGACUUGACAUCCCUGGAAUCCCCUAGAGAUAGGGG